rnacentral:rRNA from 1 species
UAUCGGUGGGGGAUGGACUCGCGGCCUAUCAGCUUGUUGGUGGGGUAAUGGCCUACCAAGGCGACGACGGGUAGCCGGCCUGAGAGGGCGACCGGCCACACUGGGACUGAGACAAAACCAAAACUCMUACGGGAGGCAGCAGUGGGGAAUAUUGCACAAUGGGCGAAAGCCUGAUGCAGCGACGCCGCGUGAGGGAUGACGGCCUUCGGGUUGUAAACCUCUUUCAGCAGGGAAGAAGCUUUUGUGACGGUACCUGCAGAAGAAGCACCGGCUAACUACGUGCCAGCAGCCGCGGUAAUACGUAGGGUGCGAGCGUUGUCCGGAAUUAUUGGGCGUAAAGAGCUUGUAGGCGGUUUGUCGCGUCUGCUGUGAAAAUUCAGGGCUUAACCCUGGACGUGCAGUGGGUACGGGCAGACUAGAGUGUGGUAGGGGAGACUGGAAUUCCUGGUGUAGCGGUGGAAUGCGCAGAUAUCAGGAGGAACACCGAUGGCGAAGGCAGGUCUCUGGGCCAUUACUGACGCUGAGAAGCGAAAGCAUGGGGAGCGAACAGGAUUAGAUACCCUGGUAGUCCAUGCCGUAAACGUUGGGCGCUAGGCGUGGGUCUCAUUCCMCGAGAUCCGUGUCGCAGCUAACGCAUUAAGCGCCCCGCCUGGGGAGUACGGCCGCAAG